GCCAAGUGCGGCAGCCUACACAUGCAAGUCGAGCGAGCUCUUCGGAGCUAGCGGCGGACGGGUUAGUAACGCGUGGGAACGUGCCCUUCACUGCGGAAUAGCCACUGGAAACGGUGAGUAAUACCGCAUACGCCCUUCGGGGGAAAGAUUUAUCGGUGAAGGAUCGGCCCGCGUUAGAUUAGAUAGUUGGUGGGGUAACGGCCUACCAAGUCUACGAUCUAUAGCUGGUUUUAGAGGAUGAUCAGCAACACUGGGACUGAGACACGGCCCAGACUCCUACGGGAGGCAGCAGUGGGGAAUCUUGGACAAUGGGCGCAAGCCUGAUCCAGCCAUGCCGCGUGAGUGAUGAAGGCCUUAGGGUCGUAAAGCUCUUUCGCCAGAGAUGAUAAUGACAGUAUCUGGUAAAGAAACCCCGGCUAACUCCGUGCCAGCAGCCGCGGUAAUACGGAGGGGGUUAGCGUUGUUCGGAAUUACUGGGCGUAAAGCGCACGUAGGCGGAUCAGAAAGUUGGGGGUGAAAUCCCGGGGCUCAACCCCGGAACUGCCUCCAAAACUCCUGGUCUUGAGUUCGAGAGAGGUGAGUGGAAUUCCGAGUGUAGAGGUGAAAUUCGUAGAUAUUCGGAGGAACACCAGUGGCGAAGGCGGCUCACUGGCUCGAUACUGACGCUGAGGUGCGAAAGUGUGGGGAGCAAACAGGAUUAGAUACCUUGG
rnacentral:rRNA from 1 species